UACGUAGGAGGCGAGCGUUGUCCGGAUUUACUGGGCGUAAAGCGCGCGCAGGCGGCAGUGCAAGUAAGGUGUGAAAUCUCCCUGCUCAACGGGGAGGGUGCACUUUAGACUGCACAGCUCGAGGUCGGUAGAGGGGGGUGGAAUUGCUGGUGUAGCGGUGAAAUGCGUAGAGAUCAGCAGGAACACCGGUGGCGAAGGCGGGAUCCUGGACCAACACUGACACUGAUGAGCGAAAGCCAGGGGAGCAAACGGG
rnacentral:rRNA from 1 species